rnacentral:sRNA from 1 species
UUUUUCUCUCUGUUUUUUU